CCUACGGGAGGCUGCAGUGGGGAAUAUUGGACAAUGGGGGCAACCCUGAUCCAGCCAUGCCGCGUGUGUGAAGAAGGCCCUCGGGUUGUAAAGCACUUUCAGUGAGGAAGAACGCCUGGUGGUUAAUACCCAUCAGGAAAGACAUCACUCACAGAAGAAGCACCGGCUAACUCCGUGCCAGCAGCCGCGGUAAUACGGAGGGUGCGAGCGUUAAUCGGAAUUACUGGGCGUAAAGCGCGCGUAGGUGGCUUGAUAAGCCGGUUGUGAAAGCCCCGGGCUCAACCUGGGAACGGCAUCCGGAACUGUCCAGCUAGAGUGCAGGAGAGGAAGGUAGAAUUCCCGGUGUAGCGGUGAAAUGCGUAGAGAUCGGGAGGAAUACCAGUGGCGAAGGCGGCCUUCUGGACUGACACUGACACUGAGGUGCGAAAGCGUGGGUAGCAAACAGGAUUAGAUACCCUGGUAGUC
rnacentral:rRNA from 1 species